CGCUGUGUAGCUCAGUGGUAGAGUGCAUGCUUUGUAUGUAUGCUGUCCUGGGAUCAUUCCCCAACUUCUCCC